UACGGAGGGUGCGAGCGUUAUCCGGAUUCACUGGGUUUAAAGGGUGCGUAGGUGGGUUUGUAAGUCAGUGGUGAAAUCUCCAGGCUUAACCUGGAAACUGCCAUUGAUACUAUAGGUCUUGAAUUUUCUGGAGGUAAGCGGAAUAUGUCAUGUAGCGGUGAAAUGCUUAGAUAUGACAUAGAACACCAAUUGCGAAGGCAGCUUGCUACAGGAACAUUGACACUGAGGCACGAAAGCGUGGGGAUCAAACAGG
rnacentral:rRNA from 1 species